rnacentral:rRNA from 1 species
GAGAUGUUGGGUUAAGUCCCGCAACGAGCGCAACCCUUGUCAUUAGUUGCUACAUUCAGUUGGGCACUCUAAUGAGACUGCCGGUGACAAGCCGGAGGAAGUGGGAUGACGUCAAGUCCUCAUGGCCCUUAUAGGUGGGGCUACACACGUCAUACAAUGGCUGGUACAAAGGGUUGCCAACCCGCGAGGGGGAGCCAAUCCCAUAAAGCCAGUCGUAGUCCGGAUCGUAGUCUGCAACUCGACUACGUGAAGUCGGAAUCGCUAGUAAUCGUGGAUCAGAAUGUCACGGUGAAUACGUUCCCGGGUCUU